GAUGAACGCUGGCGGCGUGCUUAACACAUGCAAGUCGAACGGAAAGGCCCAAGCUUGCUUGGGUACUCGAGUGGCGAACGGGUGAGUAACACGUGGGUGAUCUGCCCUGCACUUCGGGAUAAGCCUGGGAAACUGGGUCUAAUACCGGAUAGGACCACUUCUUGGAUGUUGUGGUGGAAAGUUUUUUCGGUGUGGGAUGAGCUCGCGGCCUAUCAGCUUGUUGGUGGGGUAAUGGCCUACCAAGGCGUCGACGGGUAGCCGGCCUGAGAGGGUGUACGGCCACAUUGGGACUGAGAUACGGCCCAGACUCCUACGGGAGGCAGCAGUGGGGAAUAUUGCACAAUGGGCGCAAGCCUGAUGCAGCGACGCCGCGUGGGGGAUGACGGCCUUCGGGUUGGAAACUCCUUUCGCUAGGGGCGAAGCGUUUUGUGACGGUACCUGGAGAAGAAGCACCGGCUAACUACGUG
rnacentral:rRNA from 1 species